rnacentral:piRNA from 1 species
UCAAAUUGAAAGCCAAGGAAGAGGUGGG